AUAUUUUCCUCCUUAUUUAAUUUGCUGGAUAUGAGACAACCCUCCUGAACUUACUUCUCUCCUGGGAACACAGCCCCCCUCUCUUAUCAUACAUAUGCUACAGCACAUCCUGAGGAGAAGAGGAAGGAAUACUGGAGUGAUGAAAAGGGAUUUGGUGUGCAGCCCUCUCUGUAACUAAGCCCUGACUCUGUGAGUGGGAAAGAGCACAAGAGAGCUAUACAGCAGAGAUCAGACUGGAAAUUAUUGUAAAGGCUGUGACAAGAUGUUUGUGGUUUCUCUUCAGCUUGGCUACUUCUACUGCCAGUAGAAAAACAACAAACAAGCAAGCAAACAAAUACAAGCAAAACAAAAACAGUUUCUGCAGAAAAAUGAGCUGUAGGGCUCUGGCAGCAUGGAGCCUGCAGUGAGUGGAAGGUUCAUGGGAAAAGAGCCUACACAAGCAUCAUGACAAUACUGGCAAUAACAUAUGGUGAGAGUAAUAUUCAAGGCAUCUAGAGGUAAUUCCAUGCUCCACUGUUUUCCUUAUUUUGUGACUGGAAAAACUCACUUGUGAACUUAGCUUCUCUACCUCUUUGUAGAAAUAGUAUAAUCUUCAUUUCAUCUAUUUUUAGACCUUAAGGUCUGUCCCUAGGAUUUGUCCCUAACUCUGUAUUUGUGCU
rnacentral:lncRNA from 1 species